CAGGUUGAAGAGCUCACAAAGGAAGUCCAUAACAGGAAGGAGAAAGAUACGUCUAGUGUAGAAGUACAGACAGAGGACUAUGCUGCAUGGUCGCAAGCAGAUUAUUACUACUAUGAAAAUUAUUACACUGAUGCUCAAGACUGUGCAUCUGAACUCCCAGUGCAGCACAAUGAUGGAAAUGGAGGCACUGAGGGUAGUUCCACAGAGGAAUCGCAGGCAGGUGCUAGUGUUCCUUUAAGGAUUGAUAGCACUGAAGUUGCUGAAGGUGGAGAAGAGGAAAAUUUAAUCCAGAAUUCACAGGAAGGAGAAGAUACUUCAGUACCAGAGGGUUCUUUGGCAGAGAGCUUGAGAGCUGCUGCAGAAGCUGCUGUUUCACAAACCGGAUUUAUUUAUGAUGAAAAUACAGGAUUGUAUUAUGACCAUAGCACUGGUUUCUACUAUAAUUCGGAAAAUCAACUAUAUUAUGAUCCAGCAACUGGAAUUUAUUACUACUGCGAUGUGGAAAGCGGCCGAUACCAAUUUCAUUCACGUGUGGAUCUGCAGUCUUAUCAGGCUUCUGGUACUCAGCACACCAAGGAUAAAAAAG